AGUGAAAUAAUUAUAUCAAAUGGUGGAUGCAUGCUUAACUUUUUAAGAAACUUCCAAACUGUUUUCCAAAGUUGUAACAUUUGAAAUUUCCAGCAAAAAU
rnacentral:pre_miRNA from 1 species